ACUAGUUCUUCAGCAUAGUUGGCAUAUACCUCUAUCCUGAGAAACUGAAUGACAUGGAACGCUAGAAAAACCUCCUACAGGUUGUCCUCCUCUGUAUCAUAGCAACCACUACGCUCUGCCCACAUGCCUAGUUUUGACUAGAAGCAGAGUCAUUGAUACCUUUGUGCUGGCAAUGAAGUCGGCAUGAUAGUUUCAUGGAGGAGGAUUGCCCUGCUUGGGGAAGUAUCCGCGAGGUGGGUGUUGGAGCAAUGUAACACUCACAAAGUUGCAU